UCUGUUUGGAGGUAUAAAAAGUCUAACCUGCCCACUGAGAAGAAAAUAAUUAAAGGGCCGCGGUAUUAUGACCGUGCAAAGGUAGCAUAAUCAUUAGGUCUUUAAAUGAGAUCUUGUAUGAAUGGUUGAACAAGAAAAAGGCUGUCUCUAUAUUAGAAUUGAAUUUAACUUUUAAGUGAGAAGGCUUAAAUGAUUUAAAGGGACGAUAAGACCCUAUAAAACUUUACAUAAAAAUUUUAUUUAAAUGAAUUUUUUUAAUAAAUUUUUAAUUUAAUUAUUGUGUUGUGUUGGGGAGACUUAAGCAUAAUUAAUAAUAACUGCUUAUAAUAUUAUACAGAGAUAUUUGUAGUAGUAAGAUCCUUUAGUAUGGAUUAUAAGAUUAAGUUACUUUAGGGAUAACAGUGUUAUUUUUUUUGAGAGCCCAUAUCGAAAAAAAAGUUUGCAACCUCGAUGUUGAAUUAAAAUAUCUAUAUAAUGUAGCUGUUAUAUAUGAAGGUCUGUUCGACCUUUAAAAU
rnacentral:rRNA from 1 species